GAUGAAGAACGCAGCGAAAUGCGAUAAGUAAUGUGAAUUGCAGAAUUCAGUGAAUCAUCGAAUCUUUGAACGCACCUUGCGCUCCUUGGUAUUCCGAGGAGCAUGCCUGUUUGAGUGUCAUUAAUAUAUCAACCUCUUCAGCUUAUGCUUGUUGAGUGUUGGAUGGUGGGGGUUUGCUGGUGUCUUAUGAAGUCAGCUCCUCUGAAAUGCAUUAGCGGAACAAUUUGUUGACCGUUCAUUGGUGUGAUAAAAAUAUCUUCGCUAUUGACGUCAGUCAGUUCAGCUUCUAACAGUCCAUUGACUUGGACAAAUUUUUCAUUAAUGUGACCUCAAAUCAGGUAGGACUACCCGCUGAACUUAAGCAUAUCAAUAAGCGGAGGA
rnacentral:misc_RNA from 1 species